UUCCAAACGAUUCAGUCCAAAACUCCUUUUUUCCAUGCCGAAAAUCAGCCUCGUACAAAAAUCACAUAUCAAUUUGUUCACAAAUCAUUUCUUGAUUUCUUCACUUCAGUCAGUGUCCUCAAUCAGCAGAUCUCUGCAGCGAUAAUGAAACUUUAGGUUUUAGUGUUCACUUCAUUUUGCUCGAUUACUGGUUCCAAAUUGCUAGGAUUUCCGUCUCCAUCUCUUGUUCUUCUCGGUCAGUGGUGAUGUUAUGUACAAAUCAGACACGAAGGAGGCAGAACUCGAAAAACAAUAUCGAGUGUAAUCGCUUCUAAAACAAUAUUCAUUUUGGUCUUUCAGCAGCAUUUUGAUACGGAAAAGAAGAGAUUGGCAAGAAUUUGCAGACACCAAAGGUAUCUCAGGAAAAAAUAGAAACUCUCGUCUUGGUUGGACAUCCUCCAUUAGAGGUAACAAUAUAAGCAGUAACAAAAUGAGUUGCAUCUCACAAUAGUAAAGUUGACAAGGACCUCAAUCCCAUAAGGAGAACCACAUAUAGUAUGGAUUGGCUCCCUGACUCGAAGAAUUUUUUAUUUUUCUUUUUGUAGUAGCAUGUCAAACGUAUUUCAAUGACUUAUUCAGUUACAUGCGGUUUAUAUACCUUACCUUAAUAGGAAAUUAUCUCGUAGUUUCUUUUCCUUUCUUUUUCUAUUACUUAAACCUUUGGAUGCUUGUACAAUAAAAUUGGUGAUCCUAGAAUAUUAUGGGAUACUCUAAUCUCUUGCCUAACCCGUUUUGGCAUAUUUUGAUUUUGAAUAGUUAAUGUGCACACAUUUGUACACAUGAUUUUAGCGUGCACAUAAUGAUGUACAUGUUGAUUGGUAAUGUGUACAUAGUUGUAUACGCGUUGGUACUCAAAUGGUUUUCGUUUACAUUAUUUUGUGGAUACUCAAAUGGUUGUCGCGUUGUUGGUGAGAGUAACCUGGGUCACAGGGUUAUGCAUGUGUUGAUUCUUAAUGUGUAUAUAGUUGUAUACUUUUUGAUUGUUAAUGUGUACAAAGUUGUACACUUAUUGAUUAUGUGUACAUAAUUAUACAAUAUAGAUUGUUGAUGUGUAUAUAGUUGUACAUCUGUUGAUUGUUAA